rnacentral:rRNA from 1 species
GACGAACGCUGGCGGCGUGCCUAAUACAUGCAAGUAGAACGCUGAAGGAGGAGCUUGCUUCUCUGGAUGAGUUGCGAACGGGUGAGUAACGCGUAGGUAACCUGCCUGGUAGCGGGGGAUAACUAUUGGAAACGAUAGCUAAUACCGCAUAAUAGUAGAUGUUGCAUGACAUUUGCUUAAAAGGUGCAAUUGCAUCACUACCAGAUGGACCUGCGUUGUAUUAGCUAGUUGGUGAGGUAACGGCUCACCAAGGCGACGAUACAUAGCCGACCUGAGAGGGUGAUCGGCCACACUGGGACUGAGACACGGCACAGACUCCCACGGGAGGCAGCAGUAGGGAAUCUUCGGCCAUGGACGGAAGUCUGACCGAGCAACGCCGCGUGAGUGAAGAAGGUUUUCGGAUCGUAAAGCUCUGUUGUAAGAGAAGAACGAGUGUGAGAGUGGAAAGUUCACACUGUGACGGUAUCUUACCAGAAAGGGACGGCUAACUACGUG